UAGACUAUACUUUCAGGGAUCACUUCUAUAGUUUGUUACUAGAGAGGUUUCUCUGAGCGUGUAGAGUACCCGAAACCACGAGGAGGAGGCGUAGUAUCCAUUCCUGAGAGUGAAGUUGGCUCUGGGUGUUGCUUUUGCAGCUGCCCUUUGUCUUUGAUGAUCGUUCUCCCUUCUCUUUUGGAGGAGUCAGAGGGAAGGAAUGCCGUCUGAGUGGU